AGAGGGCGUAGAGUUGUCUGGCUCAUCGUAACAAGGGAGCCUGAUAUUUGUUCCUCGGCCGACGGGUGAGUAUGCCUAGGAUCUGCCUGGUAGUGGGGGACAACGUUUCGAAAGGAACGCUAAUACCGCAUACGUCCUACGGGAGAAAGCAGGGGACCUUCGGGCCUUGCGCUAUCAGAUGAGCCUAGGUCGGAUUAGCUAGUUGGUGAGGUAAUGGCUCACCAAGGCGACGAUCCGUAACUGGUCUGAGAGGAUGAUCAGUCACACUGGAACUGAGACACGGUCCAGACUCCUACGGGAGGCAGCAGUGGGGAAUAUUGGACAAUGGGCGAAAGCCUGAUCCAGCCAUGCCGCGUGUGUGAAGAAGGUCUUCGGAUUGUAAAGCACUUUAAGUUGGGAGGAAAGGGUUGUAGAUUAAUACUCUGCAAUUUUGACGUUACCGACAGAAUAAGCACCGGCUAACUCUGUGCCAGCAGCCGCGGUAAUACAGAGGGUGCAAGCGUUAAUCGGAAUUACUGGGGCGUAAAGCGCGCGUAGGUGGUUUGGUUAAGUUGGAUGUAAAUCCCCCGGCUCAACCUGGAACUGCAUCCCAAACG
rnacentral:rRNA from 1 species